ACGAACGCUGGCGGCGUGCUUAACACAUGCAAGUCGAACGGAAAGGCCCUGCUUUUGUGGGGUGCUCGAGUGGCGAACGGGUGAGUAACACGUGAGUAACCUGCCCUUGACUUUGGGAUAACUUCAGGAAACUGGGGCUAAUACCGGAUAGGAGCUCCUGCUGCAUGGUGGGGGUUGGAAAGUUUCGGCGGUUGGGGAUGGACUCGCGGCUUAUCAGCUUGUUGGUGGGGUAGUGGCUUACCAAGGCUUUGACGGGUAGCCGGCCUGGGAGGGUGACCGGCAAAAGUGGGACUGAGAUACGGCCCAGACGCCUACGGGAGGAAGAAGUGGGGAAUAUUGAACAAUGGGCGGAAGCCGGAUGAAGAAACGCCGCGUGCGGGAUGACGGCCUUCGGGUUGUAAACCGCUUUCGCCUGUGACGAAGCGUGAGUGACGGAAAUGGGUAAAGAAGCACCGGCUAACUACGU
rnacentral:rRNA from 1 species